rnacentral:snRNA from 13 species
AAACUUAACUGGUGCCUGGAUUAGGGUGAUCACGGACACCCUGGUCGCAGGUCGAUGCUCGCCACUGUACUUUAUCGGGUGGACGUUUGUGACGAUCCCUAAUCGGGCUCGCAAGGGCGCGUAAAUUUUUCCAGUGGGGAAGUCUUCGGAACAUUCCUUU